AACGAACGCUGGCGGCAUGCCUAACACAUGCCAGUCGAACGAGACCUUCGGGUCUAGUGGCGCACGGGUGCGUAACGCGUGGGAACCUGCCCUUAGGUUCGGAAUAACUCCCCGAAAGGGGUGCUAAUACCGGAUAAUGUCUUCGGACCAAAGAUUUAUCGCCUUUGGAUGGGCCCGCGUUGGAUUAGCUGGUUGGUAGGGUAAAAGCCUACCAAGGCGACGAUCCAUAGCUGGUCUGAGAGGAUGAUCAGCCACACUGGGACUGAGACACGGCCCAGACUCGUACGGGAGGCAGCAGUGGGGAAUAUUGUACGCUGGGGGAAGGCCUGAUCCAGCAAUGCCGGGUGAGUGAGGAAGGCCUUAGUGUUGUAAAGCUCUUUUACCCGGGAUGAUAAUGACAGUACCGGGAGAAUAAGCUCCGGCUAACUCCGUG
rnacentral:rRNA from 1 species